AUGAGAACCCGACUUUGGAAGAAGAGACUGUAGAAGAGCUCUCUUUGGGAAAGGCUGCUUAUGCAAUCAUUUAUCCGUCUUGACUCCUCGGGUGUGUUCUUUCCUUUCUCUCACUCUUAUUUUAUAUUUAUGCUCUUUCAUUGGGGGCAAUGCUUAUUUUAAGUGUGGGGGAGGGAAAUCAUUUAUUUCGUUUGUUUUCCUUGUUUUUGUUAGUGUUUUGUUUGUUUUCAGUCAUAA
rnacentral:lncRNA from 1 species